AUACCUUUCUCGGCCUUUUUGGCUAAGAUCAAGUGUAGUAUCUGUUCUUAUCAGUUUAAUAUCUGAUACGUGGUUCAUAGAACCACAUGAUAUUAAAUGUAUUUUUCUAGGGGGAGGGCCCAUUAACAAUAGCUUGCUAUUGGGGCUAUUGGGCGUCGCUUGUGCGUUGCACUACAGCACCAGCACCAGCCUGGCGCACCCCAA
rnacentral:snRNA from 1 species